AUGUUUAAAUCUAGGAAAUCGUGAGAGACAGACUUGUUCAUUUGCCUUAUUCUACCAGGGACCAGGGCAUAGAAAUAUGUCAGCUUUGAUGAAAUUCAACCGUUUAAAAUUGAGGUACAUCUACCAGACAUACAGAGUUGUACUUUAGCGACCCAGAGACACAUCUCAGUAGUGCUGACUAGGCCUUUAAUCGACAUGUUCUUCUGUAUUAGCUGUACCUCUGAGCACUACUAAGUCAAUGAUUGGAUGCAAAGUUUUAUCCUAGACCGUGCGUGAAAAGCAUAUGGAUGAGUAACAAUGGAUCAAUGAUACAAUUGUUGCAAUAAUUUAUCAUAUGUCAUGCGUGAUAAAAAUGGAUCAGCACUUCUUGAUCAGUGAUGCAACAUUUUACUCUAAACCGUGCAUGAAAAAAGUUAAUGAGUACUACUUGAUCAGUGAUGCAACAUUUUAUUCUAUACCGUGCGUGAAAAAAAUUAACGAGUACUACUUGUUGAGUGAUGGAACAUUAUUCUAGACCAUGCGUGAAAAAGAAAUGAAUGAGUGCCACUUGAUCAGUGAUGCAACAUUUAAUUCUAGACCAUGCGUGUUAAAGAAUUGGAUAAGUUCUGCUUGAUCAGUGAUGUAAAAUUUUAUUUUAGACCAUGCGUGAAUAAAACCAGUGUACUUUCAAUCUGUAUCCUAUCUUCUAUCAAGAACUAUUACC